AUGAAAUAUAUAUAUAUUAUUGGAAUUUCAUUAUUACUGUAUAAUAAUUUUGGUCAUUUUUAAUGCACCUGAUUCUUUGAUGGAUCCUAAUAAUAUAUGCUAAUAUCAUUUAAACUGGAUAAUAUUUAUAUGAUAUAUUGUUUAAUAAUCAAAUGUCCUCUCAGAUAUGAUCAAAUAUCAAUCAUUUUCAAUAUGAUUAAUCCCAUAGAUCAGUGUUUUCCAAACUGUGGGGUGUGCCCCAAUAGGGGGCAUGCAAGAAUUUACAAAACCAUCAUUUUUGAGACAAACAAACAAGUAAAUUCAAAUUGGUGUUGAAAAAAAUGAAUCAGCAAAAAGG
rnacentral:lncRNA from 1 species